UGCAGUCGAGCGGCAGCGGGAGGUGCUUGCACCUCGCCGGCGAGCGGCGGACGGGUGAGUAAUGCAUAGGAAUCUGCCCGGUAGUGGGGGAUAACCUGGGGAAACCCAGGCUAAUACCGCAUACGUCCUACGGGAGAAAGCAGGGGCUCUUCGGACCUUGCGCUAUCGGAUGAGCCUAUGCCGGAUUAGCUAGUUGGUAGGGUAACGGCCUACCAAGGCGACGAUCCGUAGCUGGUCUGAGAGGAUGAUCAGCCACACUGGGACUGAGACACGGCCCAGACUCCUACGGGAGGCAGCAGUGGGGAAUAUUGGACAAUGGGCGCAAGCCUGAUCCAGCCAUGCCGCGUGUGUGAAGAAGGCUUUCGGGUUGUAAAGCACUUUCAGUGGGGAAGAAGGCCUGUCGGUUAAUACCCGGCAGGGACGACAUCACCCACAGAAGAAGCACCGGCUAACUCCGUGCCAGCAGCCGCGGUAAUACGGAGGGUGCGAGCGUUAAUCGGAAUUACUGGGCGUAAAGCGCGCGUAGGCGGCGUGAUAAGCCGGUUGUGAAAGCCCCGGGCUCAACCUGGGAACGGCAUCCGGAACUGUCGCGCUAGAGUGCAGGAGAGGAAGGUAGAAUUCCCGGUGUAGCGGUGAAAUGCGUAGAGAUCGGGAGGAAUACCAGUGGCGAAGGCGGCCUUCUGGACUGACACUGACGCUGAGGUGCGAAAGCGUGGGUAGCAAACAGGAUUAGAUACCCUGGUAGUCCACGCCGUAAACGAUGUCGACUAGCCGUUGGGCGCCUCGAGUGCUUAGUGGCGAAGUUAACGCGAUAAGUCGACCGCCUGGGGAGUACGGCCGCAAGGUUAAAACUCAAAUGAAUUGACGGGGGCCCGCACAAGCGGUGGAGCAUGUGGUUUAAUUCGAUGCAACGCGAAGAUCUUUACCUAC
rnacentral:rRNA from 1 species